AGUUGCAAGUGGUUCACCAUGGUUGUAUCUCCCCAAGUACAGUUUUUGGCUGCUCCUGGAAAAACCCAUUUUGUUGGUAAGAAAUAACUGGCUGUUUCAUCAUUUUAAGUUAACCUAACAUGGAGGUCCCAUGGAGAUCCAGGGAAGAAUGGUGGCAAGUCCCAGGCUGGCGAGCAAGCAGGUGUUGCUACUGAGGAGCCCACCCAGCUCACUGCUUUCUUACUGACCCUGAAAUCUGAGGGAAAUGAAGACCUUAAGCAUGACACCUUGCAAUCUAGAGAUUCCAUCUAUUGGAAAAGACACCUCGAUGGAAAGGCCCCCAUCAGGGUGCUGCUCUCUGAAGGCUGGAUGACUGAAUAGAUUUUGGAGCAGGAAGAAAGCACAGGCCAAACUGGUUUUAACCUCGCAAACCCUCUUGGUGUCUUUCUGAGCGCCGUCUUUGAAAAAAGAUAUGAAAGAUUCUGAAACUACAGCUGUAAAGCCUCUGAUGUUCUCGAGAAGGUUGGGCUUGACAGAAACAACUUAUUUGAAGACAAUCUGCUCCAAAUGACUAUUAACUUCCUCCCAAUACUAGUGGAAUAGCUGAUGCAGUAGAAGUAUAAGAGCAAGUAAGCCUAACCCAUGUAAGUCCCUUUUAAGAUGCUGUUCACACCACAUUGUCACCACACUGUCAGCCAAAGCAAAUCACAUGCUAAAGCCAAUG